CCUACGGGUGGCAGCAGUGGGGGAUAUUGCACAAUGGGGGAACCCUGAUGCAGCGACGCCGCGUGGGUGAAGGAGUGCUUCGGCAUGUAAAGCCCUAUCGGCAGGGAAGAAGCAAGACGGUACCUGACUAAGAAGCCCCGGCUAACUACGUGCCAGCAGCCGCGGUAAUACGUAGGGGGCGAGCGUUAUCCGGAUUCACUGGGUGUAAAGGGGGCGCAGACGGCAAUGCAAGCCAGGAGUGAAAGCCCGGGGCCCAACCCCGGGACUGCUCUUGGAACUGCAUGGCUGGAGUACAGGAGGGGCAGGCGGAAUUCCUGGUGUAGCGGUGAAAUGCGUAGAUAUUGGGAGGAACACCGGUGGCGAAGGCGGCCUGCUGGACUGUGACUGACGUUGAGGCCCGAAGGCGUGGGGAGCAAACAGGAUUAGAUACCCGAGUAGUC
rnacentral:rRNA from 1 species